UCAUGUUCACAUGAUGAUACAUGAUGUUGGUAGGGACAUCUGAGAAUAUAUGAUGAGUACCAACAUCUCUGAUGUGCAUAA
ensembl:snoRNA small nucleolar RNA SNORD74